rnacentral:rRNA from 1 species
CUUGAACGCUGGCGGCAGGCCUAACACAUGCAAGUCGAACGAGUGGCGGACGGGUGAGUAAUGUCUGGGAAACUGCCUGAUGGAGGGGGAUAACUACUGGAAACGGUAGCUAAUACCGCAUACCAUCGGAUGAGCCAAGAUGGGAUUAGCUAGUAGGUGGGGUAACGGCGCACCUAGGCGGCGAUCCCUAGCUGGUCUGAGAGGAUGACCAGCCACACUGGAACUGAGACACGGGCCAGACUCCGACGGGAGGCAGCAGUGGGGAAUAUUGCACAAUGGGCGCAAGCCUGAUGCAGCCAUGCCGCGUGUGUGAAGAAGGCCUUCGGGUUGUAAAGCACUUUCAGCGGGGAGGCGUUACCCGCAGAAGAAGCACCGGCUAACUCCGUGCCAGCAGCCGCGGUAAUUC